rnacentral:lncRNA from 1 species
GAACAAGACUGGUUACUCGCAUCAAUGCCUCUGUCUCGUCAUUUAACAUUCAGACAUGGUGUCAGAGUCGGAUAAUUAACCAUGCUUUUUGCAAAGUAGAGCCAGCCACCUGUUCUGGUUUACCCCCUAAAAAAUGCUUAUUUGAGUAAAACUUUGCCGGAUGCCGGAAUAUUCCUUAGCUAGAGUGAGUUUGCUAGUUAGCUUCAGUGUUGUUAGCACCAGUUAGACAUGGCAGCGAACAUUCCCCCUCCCGCCGUUAUGAAGCUUAGCGGAGACUGGAGCACAAACUGGGAUACGUUUAGAGGUGAAUGGGAGGACUAUGCACUAGCAACGGGACUUCAGGAAAAGGACGAUGAGGUAGUGGCUGCCACUUUGAGGACUAUAAUGGGAACAGAAUGCCGACACGUAUACAAACACAACCUGAACCUAACAGCAGCUCAGCAAGAGCAUACAACCAUGCUGACAACCAUCCGUGGAGAUCAGUGGACAAAGGGCUGGACAACAAGCCACACUGAAAAAACGCAUGGUUCCACAGAAUACCAACUGGGAUGGAUCCCGAGGCAAAUGUGGCUUCUUCAUCAACAUCUUUAUGAUUUCGUUAAUAAAAUAAUGAUAGAACCAUCGCUCCUGGGUUCCAAUGGUG